UACUAUUGAUUCUGACAUUGACAUGAAUUUGUUUGCGUCUUUAGAUCCGUUCAAUCCUCUCAAGAAGAUUACCUUCAACAAGCACAGGCUCUGGCUCUCAUCCAACAAGGAGUACAACUGGUGGCAGGUCUUCUAUUAGCGGACUCAGCUGGAUAAGUCGACUUCGUGGAAGAAGAUAUAUCUACCGUGUGUCAGAAGCUGCGAACUCAAGAAGCACUGGUCCAUCUGAGUCAUUCAGCAAUAUCUGAAUCACCUCAAACUGCAGAGAUCAUAUUAAUGUUCUCGUUCAAAAGGUCUGCAAGUUAUUGUAAAAUGUAUCUGUGCAUAAUCAUAAAGUUAAAAGCAUGAACUUCACUGGGAUGAUAUUGUAAAAGCUAGUGCAAUAAGAAUGGUUUGUUUUAAUGUCGAAAGAAAAUGGUAUACUUCCAAACAGCGUUAGAGGAUGUUUGCAUGGUACUGCUCCUGUUUCCGUUUCUGUGAUAUGAUUUGAAAUGUAUAGUUCAGUGACAGAACAUUAUA